rnacentral:rRNA from 1 species
GAGUAUUGGACAAUGGGCGCAAGCCUGAUCCAGCAAUGCCGCGUGUGUGAAGAAGGCCUGCGGGUUGUAAAGCACUUUCAGUCGGGAGGAAAAGGGGUUGGUGAAUAGCCAGCUCUCUUGACGUAACCGACAGAAGAAGCACCGGCUAACUCCGUGCCAGCAGCCGCGGUAAUACGGAGGGUGCGAGCGUUAAUCGGAAUUACUGGGCGUAAAGGGCGCGUAGGCGGCCUGAUCAGUCAGAUGUGAAAGCCCCGGGCUUAACCUGGGAACUGCAUUUGAUACUGUCGGGCUAGAGUUUGAUAGAGGGGAGUGGAAUUUCCGGUGUAGCGGUGAAAUGCGUAGAGAUCGGAAGGAACACCAGUGGCGAAGGCGACUCCCUGGAUUAAAACUGACGCUGAGGUGCGAAAGCGUGGGUAGCAAACAGG